GGGCGUUAAGUUGCAGGGUAUAGACCCGAAACCCGGUGAUCUAGCCAUGGGCAGGUUGAAGGUUGGGUAACACUAACUGGAGGACCGAACCGACUAAUGUUGAAAAAUUAGCGGAUGACCUGUGGCUGGGGGUGAAAGGCCAAUCAAACCGGGAGAUAGCUGGUUCUCCCCGAAAGCUAUUUAGGUAGCGCCUCGUGAAUUCAUCUCCGGGGGUAGAGCACUGUUUCGGCUAGGGGGCCAUCCCGGCUUACCAACCCGAUGCAAACUGCGAAUACCGGAGAAUGUUAUCACGGGAGACACACGGCGGGUGCUAACGUCCGUCGUGAAGAGGGAAACAACCCAGACCGCCAGCUAAGGUCCCAAAGUCAUGGUUAAGUGGGAAACGAUGUGGGAAGGCCCAGACAGCCAGGAUGUUGGCUUAGAAGCAGCCAUCAUUUAAAGAAAGCGUAAUAGCUCACUGGUCGAGUCGGCCUGCGCGGAAGAUGUAACGGGGCUAAACCAUGCACCGAAGCUGCGGCAGCGACACUAUGUGUUGUUGGGUAGGGGAGCGUUCUGUAAGCCUGUGAAGGUGUGCUGUGAGGCAUGCUGGAGGUAUCAGAAGUGCGAAUGCUGACAUAAGUAACGAUAAAGCGGGUGAAAAGCCCGCUCGCCGGAAGACCAAGGGUUCCUGUCCAACGUUAAUCGGGGCAGGGUGAGUCGACCCCUAAGGCGAGGCCGAAAGGCGUAGUCGAUGGGAAACGGGUUAAUAUUCCCGUACUUGGUGUUACUGCGAAGGGGGGACGGAGAAGGCUAUGUUGGCCGGGCGACGGUUGUCCCGGUUUAAGCGUGUAGGUGUGUGUUCCAGGUAAAUCCGGUUCACUUUAACACUGAGGCGUGAUGACGAGGCACUACGGUGCUGAAGCAACAAAUGCCCUGCUUCCAGGAAAAGCCUCUAAGCAUCAGGUAACAUCAAAUCGUACCCCAAACCGACACAGGUGGUCAGGUAGAGAAUACCAAGGCGCUUGAGAGAACUCGGGUGAAGGAACUAGGCAAAAUGGUGCCGUAACUUCGGGAGAAGGCACGCUGACA
rnacentral:rRNA from 2 species